rnacentral:tRNA from 1 species
GACGCUGUAACGUAGUCUGGCAGCGUACUGGCCUGUGGAGCCAGGAGGUGGGGUUCAAAUCCCCACAGCGGCC